AGGGCAGUGGCUCAAUUGGUAGAGUAACGGUCUCCAAAACCGUCGGUUUAGGGUUCGAGUCCCUACUGCCCUGCCA
rnacentral:tRNA from 1 species